GUAGCUUAGUUGGUAAAGCGCUCGUCUAGCAUACAAGAGUCUAGGGUUCAAAUCCCAGC
rnacentral:tRNA from 1 species